GACAGCGUAGCUCAAUGGUGAGAGCGCAGGUCAAUGCCCUGAGGAUGUUGGUUCGAAUUAACCGUUGUGU
rfam:Phytophthora infestans T30-4 supercont1.14 genomic scaffold, whole genome shotgun sequence.